GACAGAGGGUGCAAACGUUGUUCGGAAUUACUGGGCGUAAAGCGUGUGUAGGCGGCUUCGCAAGUCGGAUGUGAAAGCCCCCGGCUCAACCGGGUGGAGGCGAGCGAAACCGCGGGGCUGGAGGCUGGCAGAGGGUGGUGGAAUUCCCGGUGUAGUGGUGAAAUGCGUAGAGAUCGGGAGGAACACCCGCGGCGAAGGCGGCCACCUGGACCAGACCUGACGCUGAGGCGCGAAGGCCGGGGAGCGAACGGG
rnacentral:rRNA from 1 species